rnacentral:rRNA from 1 species
GACGAACGCUGGCGGCGUGCCUAAUACAUGCCAGUAGGACGCAGUUGCGAACGGGUGAGUAACGCGUAGGUAACUACCUAUUAGAGGGGGAUAACUAUUGGAAACGAUAGCUAAUACCGCAUACUCGUAGAUGGACCUGCGUUGUAUUAGCUAGUAGAUAGGUUAAUGGCCUACCUAGGCAACGAUACAUAGCCGAACGGAGAUGGUGAGUGGCACGACUGGGACUGAGACACGGCCCAGACGGCUACGGGAGGCAGCAGUAGGGAAUCUGCGGCAAUGGGGGGAACCCUGACCGAGCAACGCCGCGUGAGUGAAGAGGGUGUUCGGAUCGUAAAGCUCUGUUGUUAAGGAAGCGGUACUUAACCAGAAAGGGACGGCUAACUACGUGCCAGCAGCCGCGGUAAUAC